GGCGGACCCAGGGUCCCCCCGCAAUGAUAACCUGUGAACUCGGCCAGGUCCGGAAGGAAGCAACCGUAGCAGGCGACUCGUGUGCCGGGGUGUGGCUCUGGGGACGUCACCAAUC
rnacentral:SRP_RNA from 1 species